GCCAGCCCGCUCAGAAACUCAAAGGAAUUGACGGGGGCCCGCACAAGCGGAGGAACAUGUGGUUUAAUUCGAUGAUACGCGAGGAACCUUACCUGGGCUAGAACGCAAUCGGAAUCAGGCCGAAAGGUCUGCGCCAGCGAUGGCCGGUUGCGAGGUGCUGCAUGGUUGUCGUCAGCUCGUGCCGUGAGGUGUCGGGUUAAGUCCCGCAACGAGCGCAACCCCUGCUGUCUGUUGCCACCACGAGAGGUGGGGACUCAGGCGGAACUGCCGGUGACAAACCGGAGGAAGGUGGGGACGACGUCAAGUCAUCAUGGCCCUUAUGUCCUGGGCUACACACGUGCUACAAUGGCCGGUACAGAGCGCAGCGAGGCCGCGAGGCGGAGCGAAUCGCUUAAAGCCGGUCCCAGUACGGAUUGGAGUCUGCAACCCGACUCCAUGAAGUUGGAAUCGCUAGUAAUCGCGCAUCAGCAUGGCGCGGUGAAUACGUUCCGGGCCUU
rnacentral:rRNA from 1 species